UGGCCCUAGGUAUGUCGAUCAUUAAAAUUUAGUUUCGAUGAUCAUAAAUGAUCGCAUGAUGAUCUGAUAGAUAGAGACCACCGAUGGAUCCAAAAACUUACAACGAUAAUUUUGAUGAUAUUUAUAGCAUACUAUCAAAAUUUUACUUCAAUCAGACAUUAUUAUCAUGAUCAAUUUAGUACGAGAUGAUUUCGAUCGUUAAAU
rnacentral:lncRNA from 1 species